rnacentral:rRNA from 1 species
UGCCUAACACAUGCAAGUCGAACGGAUUAACAGGUGUAGCAAUACAUCUGUUGGUUAGUGGCAAACGGGUGAGUAAUGCAUAGGUAACCUGCCCUUCAGUCUGGGAUAACCUCGGGAAACCGGGGCUAAUACCGGAUAUUAUCCUCUUCUCACAUGAAGAGAGGAUGAAAGGUUUUUCGCUGAAGGAGGGGCUUAUGUCUGAUUAGCUAGUUGGUAGGGUAAUGGCCUACCAAGGCGACGAUCAGUAGCCGGCCUGAGAGGGUGUACGGCCACACUGGGACUGCGACACGGCCCAGACUCCUACGGGAGGCAGCAGUGGGGAAUAUUGCGCAAUGGAGGAAACUCUGACGCAGCGACGCCGCGUGAGCUCAAAGUCUUUCGGGAUGUAAAGCUC